rnacentral:lncRNA from 1 species
GAAUACGUUAACAUAAGGUUAGUAAUAAUUUUGUUUAUAAUUUUCAUUAGUCAAUAUUAAAAUCUUUGAAUUUUUUUUAAUUUUGUUAAAAUCAUAUGAUAUUUUAUAAUUGAUCAAUUUAUUUUUAGUAAAAAUGCGGGUAACGGGUACGGGUAUGGGUACUUAGGUACCCAUAGGGUAUGGGGACGGAGGCAAAAGUUGUAACCCACGUGGGUAUGGGGAUGGAUACAGGUAUUUUUUUCUAUCCGCGGAUAUGGGGAUGGGUACUAUAGUACCUUACCCAUAAGCCAUACCCUAUUGUCAUCCCAACAAAUAACUGCUGUUCUUAAUAGGAUUAGCACCAAUUACAUGUACAAAAGCGCAAGCCUCUCUCUGUUUUGCCUCUGCGCGUAGUCCCUGGGAAGUACUAGUAUAAUAAUCAACAUGGAAAGGCACACUUUAAACUGAAGUGCUCACCAUAGUCAAAAGAUCCUUUGGAAGAUCUAAGAAGGUUUCUUUAAACUUUCCAAGCACUGGAAUAGGUGCCUCACAAGAUUUACAACCU